rnacentral:lncRNA from 1 species
AUGAUCCAUUUAUGAAAUAUAUUACAAAUAGUAUAUAAGGUGAUUACAAUAUUUGUGAAUAAAGCAAUAAUAUUAGUUAUGAAAAUUCAAAUUAUGAACAGAACUUGCAUGUGGAUUAUGUUUAUAACUUGGAGUGCCUUAUUUAGAUGAUUUUGCUGUAAGAUUACAUUUCAUAUGUACACUAUAUGAAGCUUCACUCUUAGAGAAAGGCCAUCUUAAAAAGAGGAGGAACCAAAAAAAAUUCUGUUGUUAAACUAAUUUGAUCCAAGUGAUUUGAGACGUAUAAUGUACUGCCCACCUGGUUACUGGCACAUGGUCAGUAAUAAUUAUUUCAUUACUCUAAGAUGCUGGCUGAUCAGAUAACUUUUGGUCAAGAAUUGAAGAUCAGUAGUGGCCCUAUAAUUUUGAAGCAGUCAAACCAUUGUCCACUAAUAUAUAGUGGAAGUAAUACCAGGCAAAGAGCAAACCUAAUAAUUUUAUUAAAAAAUAUGAACAGAGGAAUUGCAAAGUCAAAAAUUAUAUUUAUUAGUAUAAACAGUGUAUAGGAUCAUCAAUAAAAUAAUUGUCUUGGCAGCUGAUGGAAGCAAUUGGAGAAUACUAAAGUCCAGUGGGUGAACAACAAAAUAAUUACAUAAAAUUGACAAAUACCAAGAGUUUCCAAGAUGACAUCCAGAUACCAAACUCAAUGGGUUACUUUGUUGUAACAAUGAUCAUCAUCUCAGGGUUAGUGGCUCACUCUCUACCUUAUAGUGAUACUCAUUUACAUAUUUUGAUGUAUCAAUAAAAUAAUUUUCAAAAUAAUUGUAGUAUUUAUUUUUUCUUUUAAUUUUUAAUUCUCUGCGAAUAUACUGUAUUUUCUUAAUAAUUUAUAAAAUUUAUUUUGUGACCUUCCUUGCAACACUAAUUCAAAAUUUACUUAGAAAACAAAUGACACUACAUCAGGUAGGUUCUUCACAAUCACCUCUUCCAGUAAAGAUGUUUUGUCUUUUUUAUAUAAAAAAAAUAUCAAAGUGGAAUGAUCAAAAAAGGAUUAUUUCUCAUCUCAUUAUUACCUAUCUCAGGGUUACUGGAGGACUUCCUGGUUGUUUUGGGCUAUAUGUCCCCCUUGCUUCCUCUCAAGGCACUUCAUCUCCACUUUCACCUGACAAAUUGUAGUAAGAGAUAAACAUUGUCUGGAUGAAUUCAAUCUGGUAUGACUAUGAAAUACAGAUAUGAACAAAAACAUUUAGUUCUAGGUGUAAUGUAGGAGAGAUGACAUUUUCAGCCUUCAAUGACUUUGGAACUUGUGGCAUAAGAGUGUCAAAAAUCAGCAGAAACCACAGGAUGCAAAGGAUCAAUGGGGGUAGGCAGCCUCUGAUUAGAUGCCAAUUGCAAAGUCAUAGAUUAGGAUAACUAACAAUAUUUAAACUUAGACUAUGAUUCUGAACUAUUCUAACACUAAGGACAACAAAACAACUGAAAUCUCAAUUAUUUAACCAUAGCACUGCCUGAUGAUGUAAAAUUGAGAAUAUUUGAGCAAUCUAGAUAUGAAAGCAUUUAUAUUUGCAACAUUUGAUAUAACAGCCAAUGGAAGCAUUUAUUCACCAAUAGAACUGGCUUAAUUUUAACACAUAACCCUUCUUCAAUAUCUUGGCCAACAGAUAGAAACAUUUAGACCCUUCCUAUUUUGGCUACAUUAUUUUCUAAGAGAGCUAUAUCACUUCAGAUCAUUGGGUGAAAAUGGAAUUUUGGGGAUGACUCAUGCCAUGAUAAUGAUAAUGCUGUGGCUGUACUGACUUUAAUUUUAUGACUUUCACAUACCGGAUUUGUUGGAUGUUAUAUACUGUAUACCUUUACUUCGAGCAUGUAGCACAAAAAGCAUUUAAAGACGUGUACACAUACACCUAAUGAAGGAUAGGGAAUGAAUUCGGACGAAUUUAUUUGGCAUUUAGUAUAAAAUUUGACUUGCCAUCCACAUCUAAAUGAACUAAAUGCAUAUAAUUCGCUCAAGUUCACUAAUGUGAUGAUUGAUGUCUGAG